GGCGCGAAACCUUUACACUGCACGACAGUGCGAUAGGGGGAUCCCAAGUGCACAGGCAUAGCGCCUGUGCUUUUCGGUACCCUAAGGCGGUACCAGAAUAAGGGCUGGGCAAGACCGGUGCCAGCCGCCGCGGUAAUACCGGCAGCCCAAGUGAUGGCCGAUCUUAUUGGGCCUAAAGCGUCCGUAGCUGGCCGCGCAAGUCCAUCGGGAAAUCCACCUGCCCAACAGGUGGGCGCCCGGUAGAAACUGCGUGGCUUGGGACCGGAAGGCGCGACGGGUACGUCCGGGGUAGGAGUGAAAUCCCGUAAUCCUGGACGGACCGCCGAUGGCGAAAGCACGUCGCGAGAACGGAUCCGACAGUGAGGGACGAAAGCCAGGGUCUCGAACCG
rnacentral:rRNA from 1 species